GGGGUUUCGCUGUGUUGGCCGGGCUGCUCUCCAGCUCCUAACCGCGAGUGAUCUGCCAGCCUCGGCAUCCUGAGGUGCCGGGAUUGCAGACGGAGUCUCGUUCACUCAGUGCUCAGUGGUGUCCAGGCUGGAGUGCAGUGGCGUGAUCUCCGCUCGCUACAACCUCCACCUCCCAGCCGCCUGCCUUGGCCUCCCAAAGAGCCGAGAUUGCAGCCUCUGCCCGGCCGCCACCCCGUCUGGGAAGUGAGGAGCGUCUCUGC
rnacentral:lncRNA from 1 species